CCUACGGGAGACAGCAGUGAGGAAUAUUGGUCAAUGGACGAGAGUCUGAACCAGCCAAGUAGCGUGAAGGAUGACUGCCCUAUGGGUUGUAAACUUCUUUUAUAUGGGAAUAAAACGUUCCACGUGUGGGAUUUUGUAUGUACCAUAUGAAUAAGGAUCGGCUAACUCCGGGCCAGCAGCCGCGGUAAUACGGAGGAUCCGAGCGUUAUCCGGAUUUAUUGGGUUUAAAGGGAGCGUAGGUGGAUUGUUAAGUCAGUUGUGAAAGUUUGCGGCUCAACCGUAAAAUUGCAGUUGAAACUGGCAGUCUUGAGUACAGUAGAGGUGGGCGGAAUUCGUGGUGUAGCGGUGAAAUGCUUAGAUAUCACGAAGAACUCCGAUUGCGAAGGCAGUUCACUGGACUGCAACUGACACUGAGGCUCGAAAGUGUGGGUAUCAAACAGGAUUAGAUACCCUAGUAGUC
rnacentral:rRNA from 1 species